CAUGCGCUGCCCCGGGGAGCGUGAGCCAGGUGUCUGCGGUGCAUGGCUGGAUGGGGAGAAGGUAGCUUGCGGUUCGUGUAUGGACAACACCCACCAGGACGGAAAUGGAGCAUGCAAACCUUGCG
rnacentral:SRP_RNA from 14 species